GACGAACGCUGGCGGCGUGCCUAAUACAUGCAGGUAGAACGCACAGUUUAUACCGUAGCUUGCUACACCAUAGACUGUGAGUUGCGAACGGGUGAGUAACGCGUAGGUAACCUGCCUGGUAGCGGGGGAUAACUAUUGGAAACGAUAGCUAAUACCGCAUAAUAUUGAUUAUUGCAUGAUAAUUGAUUGAAAGAUGCUAUUGCAUCACUACCAGAUGGACCUGCGUUGUAUUAGCUAGUAGGUGAGGUAACGGCUCACCUAGGCGACGAUACAUAGCCGACCUGAGAGGGUGAUCGGCCACACUGGGACUGAGACACGGCCCAGACUCCUACGGGAGGCAGCAGUAGGGAAUCUUCGGCAAUGGACGAAAGUCUGACCGAGCAACGCCGCGUGAGUGAAGAAGGUUUUCGGAUCGUAAAGCUCUGUUGUAAGAGAAGAACGGGCGUGAGAGUGGAAAGUUCACACUGUGACGGUAUCUUACCAGAAAGGGACGGCUAACUACGUG
rnacentral:rRNA from 1 species